ensembl:lncRNA
GUAGAUGAUCAGCAGAGGAAAGUGAAGCUGCUGUGAGCUGAUGUCCUGAAGGGCUUUUAAAGAGUCUCUGAGUUUGACAGGAACAUGAAGAUGUUUGUGGUGUUUGUGAUCCUCCUGCACGUGUCCCACCAAGUCUUCAGUGUGGAGGUGUACGAGGGGGCGGAGUCAGUCCUGCUGCCCUGUCACAUCCCGUUUGUGUCUGGACCCUCCACAGUGGUGUGGAGCCGCUACGACCUCAAUCCUCCAACCGUCCACCAGCGUCAGCAGGAAGAGGACGAGCUGACAGAUCAAAACCAGCGUUACAGAGACCGAACAUCCAUGAAGACUGACGCUCUGCAGACUGGAGACUUCAGCCUCACUCUGAGGAAACCCCACAUCUUUGACAGCAGCAACUACACCUGCACCAUCAGAGUGACGGGAGAAGAACCCAGACUGACAGAUGUUCAGCUGCAGGUCAAAG